rnacentral:rRNA from 1 species
UACGUAGGGUGCAAGCGUUAAUCGGAAUUACUGGGCGUAAAGCGUGCGCAGGCGGUUCGCUAAGACAGAUGUGAAAUCCCCGGACUUAACCUGGGAACUGCAUUUGUGACUGGCGGGCUAGAGUAUGGCAGAGGGAGGUAGAAUUCCACGUGUAGCGGUGAAAUGCGUAGAUAUGUGGAGGAAUACCGAUGGCGAAGGCAGCCUCCUGGGCCAACACUGACGCUCAUGCACGAAAGCGUGGGGAGCAAACAGG